rnacentral:rRNA from 1 species
CCUACGGGAGGCAGCAGUGGGGGAUAUUGGACAAUGGGGGAAACCCUGAUCCAGCGAUGCCGCGUGAGGGAAGAAGGUUUUCGGAUUGUAAACCUCUGUGGAGGGGGACGAUAAUGACGGUACCCCUUUAGGAAGCCACGGCUAACUACGUGCCAGCAGCCGCGGUAAUACGUAGGUGGCGAGCGUUGUCCGGAAUUACUGGGUGUAAAGGGAGGGUAGGCGGGAAAGCAAGUCAGAAGUGAAAACUAUGGGCUUAACCCAUAGCCUGCUUUUGAAACUGUUUUUCUUGAGUGCAGGAGAGGCCAGCGGCCUUCCUAGUGUCGCGGUGGCCUGCGUCGAUAUUAGGAGGAACCCCAGUGGCGACGGCGGCUUGCUGGGCUUUUACUGACGCUGAGGCUCGAACGCGUGGGGAGCACACAGGAUUAGAUACCCUUGUAGUC